rnacentral:rRNA from 1 species
AGCGAACGCUGGCGGCAGGCCUAACACAUGCAAGUCGAACGAAGUCUUCGGACUUAGUGGCGGACGGGUGAGUAACACGUGGGAACGUGCCUUUAGGUUCGGAAUAACUCAGGGAAACUUGUGCUAAUACCGAAUGUGCCCUUCGGGGGAAAGAUUUAUCGCCUUUAGAGCGGCCCGGGUCGGAUUAGCUAGUUGGUGAGGUAAAGGCUCACCAAGGCGACGAUCAGUAGCUGGUCUGAGAGGAUGAUCAGCCACAUUUGGACUGAGACACGGCCCAAACUCCUACGGGAGGCAGCAGUGGGGAAACUUGCGCAAUGGGCGAAAGCCUGACGAAGCCAUGCCGCGUGAAUGAUGAAAGUCUUAGGAUUGUAAAAUUCUUUCACCGGGGAAGAUAAUGACGGUACCCGGAGAAGAAGCCCCGGCUAACUUCGUGCCAGCCGCCGCGGUAAUAC